rnacentral:rRNA from 1 species
CCUACGGGGUGCAGCAGUGAGGAAUAUUGGUCAAUGGACGAGAGUCUGAACCAGCCAAGUAGCGUGAAGGAUGACUGCCCUAUGGGUUGUAAACUUCUUUUAUAAAGGAAUAAAACGAGGCACGUGUGCCUUUUUGCAUGUACUUUAUGAAUAAGGAUCGGCUAACUCCGUGCCAGCAGCCGCGGUAAUACGGAGGAUCCGAGCGUUAUCCGGAUUUAGUGGGUUUAAAGGGAGCGUAGAUGGGUUGUUAAGUCAGUUGUGAAAGUUUGCGGCUCAACCGUAAAAUUGCAAUUGAUACUGGCAGCCUUGAGUACAGUUGAGGUAGGCGGAAUUCGUGGUGUAGCGGUGAAAUGCUUAGAUAUCACGAAGAACCCCGAUUGCGAAGGCAGCUUACUAAACUGUGACUGACAUUGAUGCUCGAAAGUGUGGGUAUCAAACAGGAUUAGAUACCCCUGUAGUC